GGUUGUGGCUCCGUGGUAGAGUACUCGGCUAGUAUGCAUGAGGCCCUGAGUUUGAGCCUCAGCACCA
rnacentral:tRNA from 1 species